GACAUAGGUUGCGAACGUUAUCCGGAAUUAUUGGGCGUAAAGGAUGCGUAGAUGGUUUGAUAAGUUAUCAGUGACAAAUCGGGGCUCAACCUCGUGGAAGUUGGUAAUACUGUCAUACUUGAGUGCAGGAGAAGUUAACGGAACUCUAUAUGGAGCGGUAAAAUGUGACGAUAUAUAGAAGAACACCAAUAAGGCGAAGGCAGUUAACUAUUCUGUUACUGACAUUGAGGCAUGAAAGCGUGGGGAGCAAAACGG
rnacentral:rRNA from 1 species